UACGUAGGGUGUAAGCGUUAAUCGGAAUUACUGGGCGUAAAGCGUGCGCAGGCGGUUGUGUAAGUCAGAUGUGAAAUCCCCGGGCUCAACCUGGGAAUUGCAUUUGAGACUGCACGGCUAGAGUGUGUCAGAGGGGGGUAGAAUUCCACGUGUAGCAGUGAAAUGCGUAGAGAUGUGGAGGAAUACCGAUGGCGAAGGCAGCCCCCUGGGAUAACACUGACGCUCAUGCACGAAAGCGUGGGGAGCAAACAGG
rnacentral:rRNA from 1 species